rnacentral:rRNA from 1 species
UAGGGAAUUUUCGUCAAUGGGCGCAAGCCUGAACGAGCGAUGCCGCGUGAGUGAAGAAGGCCUUGGGUCGUAAAGCUCUGUUGCGGGGGAAAAAAGGCAGCAUCAGGAAAUGGGUGCUGACUGAUGGUGCCCCGCCAGAAAGUCACGGCUAACUACGUGCC